rnacentral:lncRNA from 1 species
UUUUCCUGUCCGUUAUUUAUUAGUUAUCAUCAUACACGUCGAAUAUUUAUCCGCAACUAAGCUAACGGCGGAUUUUAUCCGUUAUUAAAACUAACAACGAAUUUUCUCCUCCGUUAAAACUAACAGCGGAUAAAAUUUGCCGAUAGUCUUUUCGUCCUAACGAUGAACGCAGAAACCCAGCUAAGUUUUUGCGUUCAUAAUUCGUCUUUCUUCGUUCAUCGUUCAUCGUUCAUCGUUUUUCGUUUUUCAGUCAUUUUCUUUUUCUUCUUCUUCUUUGAUUCUUCCUCAAUUCUUCGAUUUUUUUUUAUUCCUCGAUUUUUCUUUUCUUCUUUGAUUCUUCUUCUUAUUUUUCUUAUUCUUCAAU